UAGGGUGAAUGUAUUAGUGAUCAUGAUGAUGAAGAUAUUGUACUGAGAGACUUAUGAAUGAUAGUCACAAGUGUGAAUUUUUGAUGCGGAAGAUUAUUCUGGAAAUAUUAGUAUAGUAGGUGCUCCUUUAAUUCAUAUUAAUUUAUUAAUUUAGCAAGGCCACUAGUAUACAUUCUAUAGUUACCUUAUCUCACUAAGUUUCAAGACAAGAAUAUCUUAGGUUUGUUUAAUUUCAUGUGAAAAGCUAAAUUCAUUAUUCAGGUUGUGAUGAACUGAAACUUUCUUGUUUAAAGCUCUUGUUAAGUUCACUUCAAAUAGCAUUGAAUUUUUUUUGUGAACCUGCCUUCAUUAUGCUGGUUAAGGAAGUUAUGUUAUGGAUCUAAGCUUUGUAGGACUAUGUGUUACAAGAUACCUUUGAAAGAUCUGCUUCACUACAUGGAACCCCAGAGUUCAUUAAUGUUGGAGAUUUUUGGAAAUUAAUUUCUCAGUAAUGUGUCUUAAGUUACAAAACAUGAAGUGUCUUACUUGUGGAACAUUGGUAGACUAUGA